rnacentral:rRNA from 1 species
AACGAACGCUGGCGGCAGGCCUAACACAUGCAAGUCGAACGCCGUAGCAAUACGGAGUGGCAGACGGGUGCGUAACACGUGGGAACAUACCCUUUGGUUCGGAAUAACUCAGGGAAACUUGAGCUAAUACCGGAUAAGUGCGAAAGCAGAAAGAUUUAUCGCCGAAGGAUUGGCCCGCGUCCGAUUAGCUAGUUGGUGAGGUAAUGGCUCACCAAGGCGACGAUCGGUAGCUGGUCUGAGAGGAUGAUCAGCCACACUGGGACUGAGACACGGCCCAGACUCCUACGGGAGGCAGCAGUGGGGAAUAUUGGACAAUGGGGGCAACCCUGAUCCAGCCAUGCCGCGUGAGUGAUGAAGGCCUUAGGGUUGUAAAGCCCUUUUACCCGGGACGAUAAUGACUGUACCGGGAGAAUAAGCCCCGGCUAACCUCGUGCCAGCCGCCGCGGUAA